rnacentral:rRNA from 1 species
ACGCUCGACACCUACGGGAGGCAGCAGGUGGGGAAUAUUGCACAAGUGGGGGAAACCCUGAUGCAGCAACGCCGCGUGAAGGAAGACGGUUUCGGAUUGUAAACUUCUGUUCUUAGUGAAGAUAGUGACGGUAGCUAAGGAGCAAGCCACGGCUAACUACGUGCCAGCAGCAGGCGGUAAUCUGAGGCGGCUGGCAAGGC